GGCUUCAUAGUUCAAUGGUAGAACGUCGAGAUCAAACGUGCUUAGCAUUUGGACGGCGUUGGCGUUGGGAGUCUUCUUUCGUUGCUGCAUUUCCAGGCGUUGGCGUUUGUUUACUUGGAGAUCAGGGUUCGAUUCCCUGUGAGGCCA